rnacentral:rRNA from 1 species
AACGUAGGGUGCAAGCGUUGUCCGGAAUUACUGGGUGUAAAGGGAGCGCAGGCGGACCGGCAAGUUGGAAGUGAAAACUAUGGGCUCAACCCAUAAAUUGCUUUCAAAACUGCUGGCCUUGAGUAGUGCAGAGGUAGGUGGAAUUCCCGGUGUAGCGGUGGAAUGCGUAGAUAUCGGGAGGAACACCAGUGGCGAAGGCGACCUACUGGGCACCAACUGACGUUGAGGCUCGAAAGCAUGGGUAGCAAACAGG